rnacentral:rRNA from 1 species
UUGGAGGGCAAGUCUGGUGCCAGCAGCCGCGGUAAUUCCAGCUCCAAUAGCGUAUAUUAAAGUUGCUGCAGUUAAAAAGCUCGUAGUUGAAUUUCGGGACCAUCAUGUCGGUCGUGCCUCGGUACGUACUGGUAUUGUUGGUUUCUCCCUUCUGACGAACCAUGAUGUCAUUUAUUUGGUGUUGUGGGGAAUCAGGACUGUUACUUUGAAAAAAUUAGAGUGUUUAAAGCAGGCUCACGCUUGAAUACAUUAGCAUGGAGUAAUGAAAUAGGACGUUUGAUUCUAUUUUGUUGGUUUCUAGGAUCGACGUAAUGAUUAAUAGGGAUAGUUGGGGGCAUUAGUAUUCAAUUGUCAGAGGUGAAAUUCUUGGAUUUAUUGAAGACUAACUACUGCGAAAGCAUUUGCCAAGGAUGUUUUCAUUAAUCAAGAACGAAAGUUAGGGGAUCGAAGACGAUCAGAUACCGUCGUAGUCUUAACCAUAAACUAUGCCGACUAGGGAUCGGAUGAUGUUAAUUUUUUAAUGACUCAUUCGGCGCCUUACGGGAAAC